AGAAAAGGACCAUGAUGCAAAGGCCAUGAGAUGUUCCCAUCCAUGUGACAUGAUUGCACAUAUACCAUAAGGCAAGGAGUCACAAGAAUGCCUCACGGGAUAACAUGGAUCAUAAUUUAUUGGAAUCAGUGACGCUAACAACUCUGGGCAAUUCCACAAUCCGGUAAAACACAAGGAUAAUACCAGAGACUUCAAAUGCUGCUGUCUGGGAUAGCAGACUGUCUGUUGCAACUCAGCAGUAGCGACGGAACUUCAUAUGGCCCUCUCCCACCUGCAGCAUCAUGGCUGACUGUGCCGAGAAAAGGCCCUGUAGCAAUGCUGGCUGUUCAUGCAGAGCCAUGGAGCCUCAAGGGUGGUACAGUGGCAACUGGCAGUGCGGAAGAUUGCAUACAACCCAACUCAAUCUCUCCAACUCUCUGGACAGGAUUAGAUCUCACAAUUUCAUUGUUACCAAAUAAGCCCAGCAGAUACUAAAACAUGCAUACUGCAAAUGUCUUCUCUGGGGUCCAGUGAAUGAAAACUUCCCUCACAAGUAAGCAGUAUAUAGCAUUCAAACAGUAAUCGAACUCUGUGAUACAAAAGCCACACAGGAUAAAAUGCAAAUAUUACAAAUCCUCUCUGGUACAUCAAAUCUAUGUGGAGUUGGGAUACGUUACGAAGACAUACCCUCAUUAUGACCAUGAGACAUAGGAGCAGAAUUAGGUCAUUUAACCCAUCAUGUGUACUCCAGCAUUUUACCAUGGGUGAUUUAUUAUUCCUGUCAACCCCACUCUCCUGCUUUCUCCCUGUAGCCAUUAACACCUUUACUAAUCAAGAACCUAUCAAUGUCCAUAUUAAAUAUACACAAUGACUUGGCUUCCACAGCCACCUGUGGCAAUGAAUACCACAAAUUCACCACUCCCGGUUAAAGAAAUUCCUCUUCAUUUCUGUUCUAAAGGGACGUCCCUCUAUUCUGAGACUGUACCCUCUGGUCCUAGACUCACUCAUUAUAGAAAAUAAAUAAUAGAUCGGCUCUUUUCCAAAUCUUAUAUAUGCCCAAUAAGUUUCUUUUCCAUUCGGUCCAUACACUGAUUGUCUGGGGCAUAUGUCAUCCAUGAUUAUAAUGUGUAUCAUACAUAUUCUUUAAUUUUGACUACAGCCUUGUUUUCAUAGGUUUGGAAUAGAUAGAUAUAUUUAUCCACUGGAUUUUGAGAUUUGAGUGAGCGAUAGGAGUCUCCUUGACAUUUGAGGUCUUUCUUUUGCAAUUUUGUCCAUUUAUACAUUAAAACUGAAAGAAGUAACUUUGCCAAUGAUUAAAAAGAUUUGGAAACAGAGUCCGAAGUCACAAAACUCCCACAUGUAAACCAUAGGAUGCAUGGUAUAAAUAUUUAUUACAUAUGUAUAAACAAAAUGCACUGUACAGUCAAGAAUGCAGGAUAGUAAAGUGUUUUUUGAUUGAAAAAAAAGUUGACCUUUUUGUCCUGGAGAGCGUGAGUUAGUCCAUUCAAAGUGAGGUCAGCGAAGAUAAGUAAUGGAAAUGUUACUGAGUGUUGGUAGUUAUACAGAACUGGUCUUUAAAACUGUUUGAGAAGGAGAUGCUGUUCUCCUUUUAUACACUAUGUCCAUUCAGAAAUGAAACAAUGGGUGCCUUCACCCGUUCAAAUACAGACUUUACAUCUGCCAAUACUGCCUGAAGUACAGAAGGAAUUGAUUUAGCAUUCUUAACUAAUGCAGGUCACUUCUUCAGCCAGUUCCAGACCCAGAGAUACUGAUUCCCAGAUGUUGGCAUUCUCAGACAGCCAUUCUGCCAAUUCCAUGAAUAAAGUAAUAAGACGACACACUAUAAAAUGUAGUCCAUAUGCUUCAGCCUCAUUUUGUAGGAUACAGGUGCAUGUCUUUGUGUGUUACCCUCUCUGUAACUGACUGCUACUGAAUUUGUAAAUCAUGUAGAUUUCUCUACCUUGAUGAGAUGUCUCAUUUAUUAAACAGCACCAAAUCACAGCCAACAACAAUGGAGGAUACUACUCAAUAUUCUGAAACAACACAGUCAAAUUUAAAAAUCACCAAUCCCAAACCAUUAACUAGUAAUGCCAAACAAUGUGCUGGAGGAACUCAGUGGCUCAUGCAGUGCCUGAGGGAGGAAAGCAACUGGGCACGUUCUGGGUCAAAAUCCAGAUGCAAGCAUUAACAACUUCUUUGCUCCCACAGAUGCUAAUGACCCACUGAGUUCCUCCCCCAUCCAUUAAUACUAAUUCUACACUAAUCCCAUUUUGUUCUCCCCACAUUCCCAUCAAUACCUCCUCUCCAUGUUCCUCUACUCACCUACACACUAGAAACAAUUUGCAGUGGUGCUUCACCAAUCAACCUUGCUUGCACUUGGGAUGUAAGAGGACCUCAAAGUACCUGGGGACUCUAUGUGGUCACAGGGAGACUACUGACAGGAAUUGCUGCAAUUGACUAAAGGAAGGAUAUGGUGCCAGUAAACAUCACUACAUCCUCCAGAUGGGUCAUCAAGCAACUCCUUCAACUUCAUUCACAUUUUCCUCUUAUUUCAGGUGUGGUUCUGCUAUUGUUGGAGCCUGCCAUCUACAUUUUAGAGGUGUGUUUUUGGGCCAAUCAGGUUAUCAGGUGCUUCAUUGUCUCUAAGAGGAGUUUCACAGGGCUAUGGGCAAAGCCUGCAGUAUGGAGGCCAGAAAGCCAGGCGACAGGGCGCGAGCCCAUUAUCAACUUCAACUCUCAACGAUCUCGCAGACUGAAGAGUUGAGGAACAUUGAAAUCAUCGAGGCGGGCACGGACGGCGAGCAAGUGUUCAGCACCAUCUACAAGCCUCUAGCUCACUAUUCUGGGGGAAUGGCGUCUAUGCGUGACGACCUCUCUCUCCUCCUCGAUUGCUGCUCCCGAGAGAUGGUCCUUGCAUUCAACGGAUCUCUCUCUUUCCCUCAGUGCUGUUCGGAUGGUGCUGCCAGAGCAAGGUUUACUUGACAUGAUUUGUGGAUUGUGGACUUUAAUUCACGUGUGAUGUGUUCCUAGUUUUUCUGGCCGUUCCUUUUUAGUUGCUAGUUUGGGUGAUUUUAAAUCAGGGCAAACUGCAGAUAAUGAAUACUGAGCUGAGCUGAACAUGCCUUUUGAUUUUGACUUUUAAAUCUGCGCUUAUUGAUUUUUUUUGUUGCCCUUGGCGUUUGUGUGUUUUUUUUGCCUCUGGUGGGUUUGAUGUUUUAUUUUGAAUGGGUUCCGUGUUUCUUCUUUGCUUCAUGGCUGCCUGUGGGGAAGAUGAAUCGCAGAGUUGCAUACUGCAUACAUAAUUUCAUAAUAAAUUUAUUUUGAAUCUUCUGAAGCUAUUAAGUUAUUUGACAAUUAGUUUGAAUAUUAGUAGGCAAACGUCCUUUUUGUUCAAAGAAGAAAGAGCAAUCCUGCAUUAACUUUGUUUCUGUUCACACUCAGAAUGUGGAUUUCACUGGAAGUGCCAGUGUUUAUGGUCCAACUCUCAUUGCCCCUCUACCAAGUAGCCAAGGACUAAAACAAUUGGCGGA